rnacentral:rRNA from 1 species
AGAGUUGAUCAUGGCUCAGGACGAACGCUGGCGGCGUGCUUAACACAUGCAAGUCGAACGAAGCCGUCCACCGAUACAGAGUACUCGGUACGAAGUAUCACCGGAAAGACUUAGUGGCGGACGGGUGGAGUAACGCGUGAGCAACCUGCCCAUAAGAGGGGGAUAACAGUUGGAAACGACUGCUAAUACCGCAUAAGACCACAUUACCGCGAUGGUAGAGGGGUCAAAGAACGGAAUCGCUUAUGGGAUGGGCUCGCGUCCCAUUAGGUAGUUGGCAGGAUAAAAGCCUACCAAGCCGACGAUGGGUAGCCGACCUGAGAGGGUGAUCGGCCACACUGGAACUGAGACACGGUCCAGACUCCUACGGGAGGCAGCAGUGGGGAAUAUUGGGCAAUGGGCGCAAGUCCCUGACCCAGCAACGCCGCGUGAGGGAAGAAGGCCUUCGGGUUGUAAACCUCUGUCCUAUGGGAAGAACGAAAUGACGGUACCAUAGGAGGAAGCUCCGGCUAACUACGUGCCAGCAGCAGC